GAUGAACGCUGGCGGUAUGCUUUACACAUGCAAGUCAUACGGAAGUUAGUUUCGGCUAACUUCAGUGGCGGACGGGUGAGUAACACGUGAGAAUUCGCCUUUAGGAGGGGGAUAACAGGGGGAAACACCUGCUAAAACCCCAUAUGCCUUCGGGUCAAAAGAGUAAUCUGCCUAAAGAGAAGCUCGCGGCUGAUUAGCUAGUUGGUGGGGUAAAGGCCUACCAAGGCGACGAUCAGUAGCUGGUCUGAGAGGAUGAUCAGCCACACUGGAACUGAGACACGGUCCAGACUCCUACGGGAGGCAGCAGUGAGGAAUUUUCUGCAAUGGGCGAAAGCCUGACAGAGCAAUACCGCGUGAGGGAAGAAGGCUUACUGAGUUGUAAACCUCUGUUACCUAAGGAGGAAGAUCUGACGUUACUUAGGAGACGAAGCAUCGGCUAACUCCGUGCCAGCCGCCGCCGUAAAAC
rnacentral:rRNA from 1 species